UAGKGGACAKAMCGGUCAGACUCUACGGGAGGCAGCAGUAGGGAAUCUUCCGCAAUGGACGAAAGUCUGACGGAGCAACGCCGCGUGAGUGAUGAAGGUUUUCGGAUCGUAAAGCUCUGUUGUUAGGGAAGAACAAGUACCGUUCGAAUAGGGCGGUACCUUGACGGUACCUAACCAGAAAGCCACGGCUAACUACGUGCCAGCAGCCGCGGUAAUACGUAGGUGGCAAGCGUUGUCCGGAAUUAUUGGGCGUAAAGGGCUCGCAGGCGGUUUCUUAAGUCUGAUGUGAAAGCCCCCGGCUCAACCGGGGAGGGUCAUUGGAAACUGGGGAACUUGAGUGCAGAAGAGGAGAGUGGAAUUCCACGUGUAGCGGUGAAAUGCGUAGAGAUGUGGAGGAACACCAGUGGCGAAGGCGACUCUCUGGUCUGUAACUGACGCUGAGGAGCGAAAGCGUGGGGAGCGAACAGGAUUAGAUACCCUGGUAGUCCACGCCGUAAACGAUGAGUGCUAAGUGUUAGGGGGUUUCCGCCCCUUAGUGCUGCAGCUAACGCAUUAAGCACUCCGCCUGGGGAGUACGGUCGCAAGACUGAAACUCAAAGGAAUUGACGGGGGCCCGCACAAGCGGUGGAKCAUGUGGUUUAAUUCGAAGCAACGCGAAAACCUUACCAGGUCUUGACMUCCUCUGACAAUCCUAGAGAURGGACGUCCCCUUCGGGGGCAAAARUGAMAGGUGRRWGCAUGGGUUGUC
rnacentral:rRNA from 1 species